rnacentral:rRNA from 1 species
AGGGUUUGAUCCUGGCUCAGAUUGAACGCUGGCGGCAGGCCUAACACAUGCAAGUCGAGCGGUAGAGAGAAGCUUGCUUCUCUUGAGAGCGGCGGACGGGUGAGUAAUGCCUAGGAAUCUGCCUGGUAGUGGGGGAUAACGUUCGGAAACGGACGCUAAUACCGCAUACGUCCUACGGGAGAAAGCAGGGGACCUUCGGGCCUUGCGCUAUCAGAUGAGCCUAGGUCGGAUUAGCUAGUUGGUGAGGUAAUGGCUCACCAAGGCGACGAUCCGUAACUGGUCUGAGAGGAUGAUCAGUCACACUGGAACUGAGACACGGUCCAGACUCCUACGGGAGGCAGCAGUGGGGAAUAUUGGACAAUGGGCGAAAGCCUGAUCCAGCCAUGCCGCGUGUGUGAAGAAGGUCUUCGGAUUGUAAAGCACUUUAAGUUGGGAGGAAGGGUUGUAGAUUAAUACUCUGCAAUUUUGACGUUACCGACAGAAUAAGCACCGGCUAACUCUGUGCCAGCAGCCGCGGUAAUACAGAGGGUGCAAGCGUUAAUCGGAAUUACUGGGCGUAAAGCGCGCGUAGGUGGUUUGUUAAGUUGGAUGUGAAAUCCCCGGGCUCAACCUGGGAACUGCAUUCAAAACUGACUGACUAGAGUAUGGUAGAGGGUGGUGGAAUUUCCUGUGUAGCGGUGAAAUGCGUAGAUAUAGGAAGGAACACCAGUGGCGAAGGCGACCACCUGGACUAAUACUGACACUGAGGCGCGAAAGCGUGGGGAGCAAACAGGAUUAGAUACCCUGGUAGUCCACGCCGUAAACGAUGUCAACUAGCCGUUGGAAGCCUUGAGCUUUUAGUGGCGCAGCUAA